UGUACUGGUUUCUCCCUACAUGUGACAACAAUCUCCCAAAUUCUUCAUAUCUCUGGGCUUUGGGGUAGGGUGGCAAGACGGAAGCCUUUUAGAACCAACGAGUACAUAAAAAUACAUCCAAUCUCCCCAAACCAUGUGAAAUAAUGUGUUAUGAUACCUGAUAAGACCAAAAUUCAACUUUUUAGCCUAAAAGUUACAGCUUGUUAUUAAUUGGAAACGGGCUCUCUCGUGGCUCCACCCACCACGCACGUUCGAACCAAUCAUAUUAUCCUCUCUGGCGUCCAUGGGCGUGACUAACCGCGUCGGUCUGUUAAAGGUAGCAGGUUGUACAUGGCGAGCGGGUUACUCACUGAGGGCUGGUGAUUGGUGUAAUGGAAGCCGUCUCUGAACCGCAUUUAAUGACGGAGAACUACAGAAGUGGAGAGAAAACGCAGCACUGAACAGCUUGUAGACUUCACACCCAACUAUAGUGUCCAAAGCCCCUGGUGGUGGAAGUGCAUGGCGUUUGUGUGGAAGCAGGAGUGGAUCUAAUCACAGCCUGUGAUAUUUGUCUGUGCACACAGGAUGGCUGGUUUCAGGUGAAGUUGUGUAUUCCCUGAUGUUCAAUGAUUGCUGGAGCUCUGGAAAUAGCAGGUGAGAUUGCAGGCCGGAGUCCAGUUGCUGUCCAGGGAACCAAAAUCAACCUCCUCUACUCCUGAGACCACAGUGUGACUGAGAGCCUAGACUACAUGGCUACUUGGAACAUGAACAUGUUGCAGACACAGGAUCUUAUGAAGUCAGUGCAGGCAGCCCUGGGAAAAAGAGUCCGAAAGACGUGCCCUUCUCCAAGCUUUAAAGGAGAAGAUCCAGGGCUGUUGAAGCUGCGGUGGAACUGAGACUUCAUCAUCCACAGAUCUUUAGUUCUUCUUGCUAAGUCUCAGUUUCUUUUUAGUCUUUUUAUUUUUAGACUGGUCAAAAGACUGAACAGUGGAAGUGAAAUGAUAGAUGAACUUGCUUGAUUAUUUGCAGGUGCUUUGUACAGUAAGACAGGGUAACUAAUACUCAAAAGCCUGUUUUGUGUGUUCUAGUAGAUGUACAUUUUCUUUCUGGUGCUGUGUGACUGCAGAAUGUAGUGCAGUUAACACAUUAAAUUUCCUUGGAUGCUCUCUUUUAACUCGAGGAGGUCAUAGUUUGCCCAGACAUCUUUUUUUAAAUCCGUCAAUCCGUCACCCACACGUCAUUCUGGGGGAUGAAGAGGAGGAAGCUGGACAGAUUUUAUUUAUUUAUUUAUUUAUUUAUUUAUUUAUUUAUUUAUUUAUUUAUCAUUGUGUUUCCUCAAUCGAGUGCAGAAAGAGUUUUGUAAAGUUUUGCUUUACAAUUCCAAAUGACCAUUGGUACUGUGUACACAUCAACAUACACACACGUCUCCAUGCUGGACAUCUCAGGUGCUUUCACACACAGUGCUCGGAAUAUCCCGGGACAGAGAAACGCACCUCCUAAGUGAGCGAGUUGAGUUUAGUGUCAACCGGUGAAAUUUGCUGUAGCGUGAACACUUCGCCUCUGUCAGCUUCACUCUGUCAGGUUCACUGUAAUUAGACAUAAAAUGUACAUAAUAUUUAUUUUUCAUACAUUUAGGAUUUAAUGUGUUUUUUUUUUUUUUUUUUUUUUUGUUUUUAAAAACUCUUCGAGGAACAGAAAUGAUCCAUCACCACCUGCUCCGUUUGACUCAAAAACAUAAACGAUUUCAAAAAGUCACGAUGUCUUCAGUUCGUGAUUUUUACUGUUGAAUUUAAACAGGAAAUGGCUUUUUUCCUUCCUUCGUUUCCUCUACUGUCUUUUUGCUGUGAUCUUGAACACAGUUGUAAUUUUUACAAAAAAAAAUAAAUGAUCAUUCUAUUUCUCUCACUUUCCUUGUCCUAAUUGUCCUGUAUCUGUUAAAUCCGUUUCAUCUCUGGUCUUUCUGUCUGUAUGAACACUUGUAGAAAUGACAUGUAGUCCAUAUUUUUAAAUGAUUCAUGAUUUUGAAUUUAAAUAAAGAUAUUCUUCAAUUCUGUAUUUUGUCAUUUAACUAUCAUUAGAAAUCAAUCAGAUUAAAGCCACGGCUUCUUUACCUGCGUAAGCUGUAAAACUUUCAAUAAACCAGUCAAUAGAUCAGCUGAAUAAAUGUAGAUUUUUAAUUUACUGAUGAGAUGUAUUGAUUGUGUUGAUAGAUUAUUUGGAGAUUUUUAUUGAUCUUGGACAACCAUUCAGUUAAAUAUUGAAAACUUGAUAAAUAGUUGAUUAAAUAUAGUGUAAUGUACUGAGUCAAACAUGAAAACUACAAAUAAAUAAAAUCUAUGUGUAUAAUUAAAAACCUCACUUAACACAAGAAAUUCAUAUCCUAAAUGUUGCAAGUGAUUAAUCUGAUCAUUUUAUUCAGCUGUUUAAUUACUUUCUAAAUAAUAAAUGAAUGUUCUGGAUUCAUGAGGAAUGUUUACAUUUUGUGUCCAAACUCAAAAGUUUAAACAAAGUGUAUAUUUAUGAUGAUAAAGCACAAAUAACGUGAAACCUCAACACGACUACAAUCAUCGAUGAAUUAAAUAUUAAUUAAAAAAAUUAAAUUAGAGUAAGAUGAAGUAUAUUUUUAAUUAAAAUGUAAUUAGGAGCACUUUUAAAGUGGAUUUGAUUUAAAAUAAUGAUAAAGCUGUUUUUUAUCUGUUAUAUAUCUUAUCCUCUAUCGUGUUUAAGAAGAGAAUAAUGAAGCUUUUUAUGAAAUGAUAUUUGGGUUUAUUUUAUUUUCUCCUCACAUAUUCAAAUUUACGUCAACGUCCGUUACGUUGGUGACGUCACCACGAGCGCGAGAAGUCGAAGUGAAGAGCAGAAAGCAGUGUUAAUGUUAGUUCUGGCCCGUUUGGACCCAAACUAAAGUGUAUCAGUAUGAAGCAGGCGGUGACGGCGCACUGAUUCACUCUCGGAGCUCGGUUCACUAAUGACCGAAUCACCCAGGACCCGACCAAAGAUAACUCACAUCCGCACGGAGAAGAACAAGAGGAGGAGAAGAUGAGCUGGAGUGGGGCAAAGAGAACUGCAUUCAGAUCAAAUGGAUACAAGAGAGGUGGCUGAGUUGUUUGAGGAUCUGAAGAAUCGAGUGUCACAAUUCAACAUGCACAUCAGCGAAACUUCCUCUCCCUCUGACUACACCAGCACGCACGCACAGAAAUUCAUAGUGCAGGUGGCGAUUGCAGGCGCAUUUUAUCCGAACUGCUUCCUCCAGGGAACUGUGGACGAGGAGCUCGCCUCCAAGGAACUCUAUGGAAACGACCCCAGGACCAUCGUAGUAGUAUUCAGUCAGCUUCCAUUUAACUAGGGGAUUAAUAAUAUUAAUAAUAAUAUUUCUCUCUCUCCCUCCCUCUCUCUCUCUCAGGUGUGUAAUCUCCCUCCAUUUGCAUUCCUCUACUAUAAACAGCUCCAGUCUCUCUUCAGACACUGUGGUUAAGUCAAAUCCAUCUCCUUUGACAGCUCCAGGGCCUAUGUAGAGUUCUACCGCUCGUCAAUGAGAGGUUCUGGCGUCCUCCCAGAGGUCUCUCUGUCUCUCCUCCUCACGCAGCAGAGACUUCCUCUCCAUCUCAACGUUUAACCCGCUGGAGAGGUGGAGACUUGGGCAGAGGGGUAGUGUAUCUCACACCUCAGAUAUACACGGUUGAAUGUGGAUAUUCAGAAUCAGUCAGUGAGCCCUGUCAGGGUUCUGAGCAGCUCCGUUGAGCUGGAGAAUCUUCCGUCUAACCCUGUCUUUAUCGUCAAUAUCACCGAGGUCAUCAAAGUCGGGCAUUUCUGGGGUUUCCAGGCUCACGCGGCAAGUCUGGAGAAACAGAGAGCCAAAAUACUGCAUGUCAUGGGGAGUAAUGUGGAGGUAACAUCUGUACACACACACACGUACACCUACUAAAGCGCCUCCGUGAUGGAGAAUGGAGUGGUUACAGGAAAACUGCACAUUGAGUGUACACACGUGUGUGUGUGUGUGUGUGUGUGUGUGUGUGUGUGU